rnacentral:rRNA from 3 species
UGAGAGUUUGAUCCUGGCUCAGGACGAACGCUGGCGGCGUGCCUAAUACAUGCAAGUCGUACGCUUCUUUUUCCACCGGAAAAAGAGGAGUGGCGAACGGGUGAGUAACACGUGGGUAACCUGCCCAUCAGAAGGGGAUAACACUUGGAAACAGGUGCUAAUACCGUAUAACAAUCGAAACCGCAUGGUUUUGAUUUGAAAGGCGCUUUCGGGU